rnacentral:siRNA from 1 species
GCCGACCAGGGAUCAGCG